GUAAGCAUAGUUUAACUAAAACAUUAGAUUGUGAAUCUAAAAACAGAAACUUAACCAUUCUUGCUUACC
rnacentral:tRNA from 1 species